UUCUCCAGUGGCCUAGUGGUUAGAGCAUCUGCCUCAGAUGCAGGAGUUUAUGGGUUCAAACCACAGCUGAGUAU